CAGCCGCCAGGUAACACGGAGGGUGCAAGCGUUAAUCGGAAUUACUGGGCGUAAAGCGCACGCAGGCGGUCUGACAAGUCAGAUGUGAAAUCCCCGGGCUUAACCUGGGAACUGCAUUUGAAACUGUCAGGCUGGAGUCUUGUAGAGGGGGGUGGAAUUCCAGGUGUAGCGGUGAAAUGCGUAGAGAUCUGGAGGAAUACCGGUGGCGAAGGCGGCCCCCUGGACAAAGACUGACGCUCAGGUGCGAAAGCGUGGGGAGCAAACAGGAUUAGAUACCCCUGUAGUCCCUGUCUCUUAUACA
rnacentral:rRNA from 1 species